GUAGGUGGCAAGCGUUGUCCGGAAUUAUUGGGCGUAAAGCGCGCGCAGGUGGUUCUUUAAGUCUGAUGUGAAAGCCCCCGGCUCAACCGGGGAGGGUCAUUGGAAACUGGGGAACUUGAGUGCAGGAGAGGAAAGUGGAAUUCCACGUGUAGCGGUGAAAUGCGUAGAUAUGUGGAGGAACACCAGUGGCGAAGGCGACUUUCUGGCCUGUAAAUGACACUGAGGCGCGAAAGCGUGGGGAGCAAACAGGGAUUAGAUACCCUGGUAGUCCACGCCGUAAACGAUGAGUGCUAAGUGUUGGGGGGGUUUCCCGCCCCUCAGUGCUGCAGCUAACGCCUUAAGCACUCCGCCUGGGGAGUACGUCGCAAGACUG
rnacentral:rRNA from 1 species